AAGACACCUGCAGUUUGGCUUUCCAAUUCUUGGCAUCCGCUACGACUGUCGGCAGGCAAUUACCGGCCAUUACGGCCUUCCUUGGAGCAGAACCGGGCUCAGGCGCAGCAAAUUUCAGGGCGCAAGCCAGGUCUGCAGAGGAGGCAACUUUGUUAAGAGACGAUAAGAGAUCUGGAAGUGGCUUUAAAGGAAGGGAGAGAGAAGCAGGACACUGUCCAGAUGCGGAGGCCCUUCUCUUGGCGCUCUCUUCCUUUUCCACCACAUGGCUCAGACCUCCCUCCUUCGGAAGCUAAAGUGCAUCUACCUGCGGGGACCACCGGCCAUGCUGGACCUGCCUGUAAAAGGGGAGCGUUAAUGGGAGCUGGAACGGUUUCUGCCGAGCGGCACACAGACAAGGCAGAAGCAGAGCUACCAUGCGAGAAGAACCCUACGAAGGGAGCGCAGGCUCGCCCAUCAAUUGUUAAGCCUGGACAGCAGGGUCAGCAAACUCAUGGGUCAUCUGAGCCCAGUCUUCCCCCCAACAGCCAGAUGGAUUGUUUAUAUUUCUUUUUAUAUCACAGUCCUUGGACUCAGCUAUACAGCUGCAAAUAUAAUGUUUUAAGUGUGUUUUAAGUGCUUUAUACAAAUGUGAAACAAGAUGGCGCUGGUGAGCUAAUGGCACAUUCCAGAUAUGUUUUAAAACAUGUUUUUUUAAAGCAUUUUCACAGUGUUUUUUUAUGUGUGUAGAUUCAGCCCUUAUUUCUGAAAUUGCAUAUGAACAUUUAAAGCCAGCAUAUGGAAA